UGCUGGAUCUGCUGUGUGGACUUGACCCUGACCAGGGAGCUCCAAAAACCGGUGAUGAUAACAUGAUGUAAUUGAGAGUGAAAGGAAGGCAACUGAGAGGAUAAGAGAACGUAAACAAGAGGUUACGGCACUAAAGAACCUUCAUGAAGCUAGGUCUCCAGAUUAAUCUACUGUCAGAUACUCGAGUCUUCAAGGUGAGAACAAGAGUUUGAGUGGAGAGGACCUGGUGAAAUGGGAGCAAAAGACUUUGACAGGCCCUGGAGUGAUAGGGCAGCAGAAUAUCUACUCUGAACUAAGAGCAUAACAAAGGAGGUGGAAGAGGCGCCAGGAUAGCUCCCAUAUUUGGAGUGUUAUCAUUCAAGUACACACUGGCACCAGGGUCCCUGAGGCUUGCUCAUUGAGGUUGUCAACACUGCAAGAAGGAGUUUUUGUGGCAGAACAGACAUUGAUUGGAGAUGCUGGCAAGGCAGGGUGAAGCCAAGAGACCAGAAGAUGAUGGUCAUUGAAAAGAGAUUUUGUUACAGUUCAAGAGAAGCAAGCACAACAUGCCAUGCCUUCAUCUUCUGCUAUGAUUGAACAAGAGAUUAGGACGCAGACAACACAGACUUAAGAGGUGAUCAUGUGAGGAUACAGCAAUAAGAUGACCAUCUAUAAGCCAAAGAUAGGCCUCAGAAUGAAAUCAACCCUGUUGACACCUGAAUCUCCAGAACUGUGAGAAAUAAAUUUUCAUGGCCGU
rnacentral:lncRNA from 1 species